rnacentral:lncRNA from 1 species
UGCAAAUAAACGUAAAAAUACUGUUAAAGUGUAAAGUGUUUUCCUCCGUACCAUCUGACGUUUCUGGCGGUUCGUUGAACGCGAGAGAACGCUGAGCCGUCUGCACUGAGCCCGGGAGCAUCUUCAGGGCAGCGCCGCCCACGCGCGAGGUGAAUGAAGGACACGGCCUCUUGACACUCCCAGGCAGCACAGAUAGACGGAUCCGUGCCUCAACCAUGAACCUAGCAAUGAAUGAGGAAAGAAAUCUUUCUUCCCCUACAAUUCUGCUGGGUUUUGCAAUCACACUGUGAGAAACUCUACCCUGAGACGUCAAACCGAGAAAGAAUGCUAUUGGCUCCAAGGUGCGGUUUGGAAGACGACCGACCUCUAUUCCGACCUGGAGGUCAGCUUUGAGGAUGCCUCUGCCUGCCAUCUUUGGGCGUGUUCACAAGGCACAUUUCUUUGAAUAGAUUUCAG